rnacentral:rRNA from 1 species
CCUACGGGCGGCAGCAGUGGGGAAUUUUGGACAAUGGGCGCAAGCCUGAUCCAGCCAUGCCGCGUGUUUGAAGAAGGCCUUCGGGUUGUAAAGGACUUUUGUCAGGGAAGAAAAGGCGGUUGCUAAUAUCGACAGCUGAUGACGGUACCUGAAGAAUAAGCACCGGCUAACUACGUGCCAGCAGCCGCGGUAAUACGCAGGGUGCGAGCGUUAAUCGGAAUUACUGGGCGUAAAGCGAGCGCAGACGGUUACUUAAGCAGGAUGUGAAAUCCCCGGGCUCAACCUGGGAACUGCGUUCUGAACUGGGUAACUAGAGUGUGUCAGAGGGAGGUAGAAUUCCACGUGUAGCAGUGAAAUGCGUAGAGAUGUGGAGGAAUACCGGUGGCGAAGGCAGCCUCCUGGGAUAACACUGACGUUCAUGCUCGAAAGCGUGGGUAGCAAACAGGAUUAGAUACCCGGGUAGUC